rnacentral:rRNA from 1 species
AACGAACGCUGGCGGCAUGCCUAACACAUGCAAGUCGAACGAGACCUCCGGGCCUCGGGGCGUACGGGGGCGUAAGCCGUGGGAACAUGCCCUUAGGUUAGGCAUAACUCCCCGAAUGGGGUGCUUACAACGGACAAUCUCUUCGGACCAAUGAUUUAUCGAUCUUGGAGGGGCCGGCGUUGGAUUCGCUAGUUGGUAGGGUAAAAGCCUGACAAGGGGAGCAUUCUUAGCUGGUUAGAGAGGAUGAUCAGCCACACCGGGGCUGCGACACGGCCCAGAAUCGUACGUGAGGCAGCAGUGUGGAAUAUUGGACAAGGGGCGAAAGCCUGAUGCAGCCAUGCCGCGAAAGUGCUGAAAGCCUUAGGGUAGUAAAGCUCUUUUACCUGGGAUGAUAAUGACGGUACCGGGAGAAUAAGCUCCGGCUAACUUCGUG